rnacentral:rRNA from 1 species
AUGAUGGAGGACAAUGAAGUUGAUAGGCUCAGCAAGCUUCCUGAUGACGUUUGGCUCAACAUUGUCGAGCGACUUGAUAUCACUGAUGUCGCACGAACCACCAUCCUCUCCAGGCGUUGGAGGCAGAUCCCUGCUAUGCUCUCAAAAAUUAUCAUAACCGCCGGUUCUUUUCAGCCUACACAUGAAAGAAGGAAGUUAACCUCGGAUGAUAUAGUUCGGGCCAAUACCACCGUGCUGGAAGCAAUCAGAAGCAUACUGGAAAGGAGGGCUGGAAGUCCAUACACCAUUCACCUGUUGUGUAUGCAAUUCUACUUGGGAGAUGAGUCCAUUUUCAUUGGCCAGACUGUUGCCAACACCAAGGUUGCUUCAGUUGAGUUUACAAUCAUGACCAAGGUGCGCAAAAAGAUUACCAAUAAUGGGCUGCUCAAUUAUGGGAGGCAGUUCAUGUCAUUUUUUGAUUCGUGCCCAAACACAUUUGGUGGCCUUGCACGCCUCACGCUAGAGAAUUUGAGGUUAGGCGAAUCAGACUUCCCCAAAAUUUUCAGUGUAUGCAAGCAACUGGAGUUACUCCGCCUCUACCACUGUGAUAUGGGCAUCGACUCUUUGUUGGAAGUGGAACACCCACAACUCAGUGAACUAGUGAUUGCCUGUAGCAGGCUUAUUAAGAGGGAUGAUCUGAAGUGGUUACCGAAACUCACAGUACUGAAAUUUAAUGUAUUUAGAUCUCAAGAUGACCCCUUCUGUCUUGGCUAUGUCCCACUGCUCCAGACUGUGACCAUCAUUAAUACUGGUUUUGCUUGGCACAAGAUGCUCAAGUUUAGUGAGUUGCUGGGUAAAACCGGCAUAAGCAACCUGCAUUUGGACUUCAGAAGCGAAAAGAUUUGGGUCAAACCGGAAGGUCGAAGACAAUUGUUACCGGUGUUCCACAAACUAACGCUUGUGAAUUUGCUUAACAUUUCUGAAGAAUGUGAUUUGACUUGGAUAAUGUUCAUACUCCAAGGUGCACCCACCCUUAAGGAACUAAGCAUCUUGGUCCGGGAUCAUUUAUGUGAAAUGAUAACAGGGGAGCAGAGGAAAAAGUUUAUGUUUAGCGAGGAGAAGGACAAUGGACUAGAGUGA